UCUCUUUGCAUUUUAUUUCUUGUUAGUGUUUGCCUGUGUACCACAGCAAACUUAUGGAGGUUAGAGAAAACUUAGAGGAGUUGGUUCUCAGCUUCUGCCAUGUGAAUCCAAGGGAUGUAACUCAGAUUCUUAAAGCUUGGAACUCACAGAGAUCCUCCUGCCUCUCCCUCCCAAGUGCUGGGAUCAAAGACGUGCAUCACCACUGCCCCACUUGUAUCUCUUGUUAGUACAUCAAACAGCAGAGUGAUUGUGUAAACAUGUAAAUAGCAGAAAUUCCAGAAAAUUAGCAUCAGCAGUGAGGGGUUUCAGUUGGUUUGUUUUGCUACUGUUCAAUUUCCAUUUGGAACACUUCAUAGUCUUUGGGAGAGUAUGACAUUUCAUUCUGACGUGUUACUUUGUGAAACCUUAUUUCUGAUACAUCCUACUAAUUAAUAAUACAUCCUACGAAUAAUAAAAACCCAGAGAUAGAUAUUGGGGUUCAAGAUGAACAUCAAAAAAGCAAAGCAGCCAAGACACUAAAGAGUUAAGACUUACUUCUACCAAGCGUCAAUCCGAAGAGAGGUGAUCCUGUGUGACUUCAAGGCUGCAAACUGCAGUACUCUCCACCAAAACUCAACUCUGAGACUACACUGAGCUCCUGCCUUAUAUUCCUUUCUAGUGCUGGGAUUAAAGAUCAUAAACAAAAUAUCACCACAGUGAAGAUUGCUAAUGGAUGUCUGUGACUGUUAAUCAUGGUUAAUCAUUACUGUCAACGUGAUUGGAUUGAGAAAUAUCUAAAAGAUGUAAAAUAUAGACCUGGAUGUGUCUAUGAGGUCACUUCCAAAGAAAAUUGAAGAUUGAAGCACCUACCUCAUCCUUGCAUGAAUUCAAAUUUCCAAUGGACUGUUGGAAUGUUGUGGAGCUGUGGUGACAGUCUAUUACUAAUGGGAAGUCACAGCAGCAGGAGCUUGAGAGAGCUGGUCACAUCACUUCCCAAACCGAAAACCAUGUCUCUUGCCCUGUUCCAGUGGUGAAAGAUGAAGUCAAGUUGGGAGUAUAAGUCUACUGAUAGAGUAACAAAAUGAUUUGCAAUAAAGUGGAAAGCAUUAAUCAAGAAAAAUAAAGAAGUCUGCUGAAAAAGUAAGAGGAAACAAAACACUAUUGAAAAGGCAAGACCCACAUACAGUGGUACAGAUCGGACAAAAUCUCAAACAACUGGAUGUGGAACUCCAGAAGAAAAUACUGUCUUUGGGGGAAAAUCUUACACUGGGGGAAGAAAAAUGGACAGAUCCUGCUUCCACUGCCCUUCUCUGUCAUUGAUUGACAGCUGCCAAGAAAAAGAUUGGUUCCGCUGGAAUGAUGUGCUUUGCCUUCAAGUGGAUGUAUGUAGCUAGCUCAAUGGCACCCGGUGGAGCCGGAUGGCAAGCUCCUUUAAAACUGUUAAUGCGUCUGGAUCCAGCAUCACAGAACAGUUCCUGGGCCAAAUGUGUCCUAGAAGAUUAUCUCCACUCUUUAUGUAAUGU
rnacentral:lncRNA from 1 species